rnacentral:lncRNA from 1 species
ACCACUACUAUUCUUUCUUUUCUUGUUAUGCAUCCGGUCCUAUAAAUCUUUUUUUUCUGACCAGAGGAAGAGAAAAAGAGAGAAAUGUCGAUAAGUUAAUUCCUGUGGAUGUCUACUUGCCGGGCUGCCCACCUAAACCGGAGGCGGUUAUAGAUGCCCUAACAAAACUUCAUAAGAAGAUAUCGCGAGAAAUAGUUGAGGAUCGAACUCCUUUCUUUUCUAUUUCUUCUAUUGGCUGGUCUGGGGAAAGCGGAUCACACGAAGAUCUAUAGUGUUUAAGUCCAUCUUUCUCUUCCUGCAAUCUACUGAGAUAUGCCUCAGCUGCAGGUGCUUUGUAUCUCUGGUCAAGAGUUGGCAAGGGAUACUUAACCCAUGCCAUCCCUUUCAACCUUGGAAAGUGUUAUCCUAGAAUCUAUCAUUCUCCAAAAAUCCCUAAAGGCCCCCCGGGCUUGACAAGUUCAGCAAAACCGUAGAGAAAGCAGGUUACACCUAGCUUAGCCUAUCCAAUAUCCGAUUCAAAAAGAGCUUGGAUUGCUGCCUCCCGGGGGACAAAGCAAAGUCAAAGCGCUUGAUCCUUUGCCCCAUACUUUUAGAUCUUCCUCCCCAACAAGCAACGGGUUGAGCCCGGAAGAAGCAGGGAUUGAACCAGGGCUUGUUGACAGAGCAGAUAUCAAAAGCCUAUGUUAUCUCAUUUUCAGGGACCGAGCAAGGGAUGAGCGCCCUCUGAUCUAACGACCAAACAAGCAACUGCCUCAGGUUUUGAAUAAAUCACUGAUGGACGGAAGGGAGCGGGGGCCAGCUCCCUUCCUAUGAAAGACCCGAGCUUACUGGGAUGAUACCCCUUUACAUACUAAUGGGUGUAAACAAAUAGUACGCCCCUCUACUAAAGUGGGUUGGAAAGCCUGUAUGCCUAAUCUAUGCAGGGUAGGUGCGCCGCUACUUAUUUCUUUCUCACUCACUACUUUUUUCUAUUUUCUUUUGUCUAUCGAAACAGCCUAGGAUUCAAUUUGAUUUAUCCUAGUGGUGACAGCUUAUGCUUGUCCUUGGAACCGGGCGCGGCCCUCUUUCCGCUAUUAUGAGCGGGUUUUGGGUUAGCCAGAGCGGGCCAAUAGGGAUAAACAAAGUAUGGAAGUAGUUGUGAGGUAAUCAGAUGGCUCAAGAUAAGUUGGAGACGUACUUGAGAUAGAUAAUUUAUGUAUUUCGCUAUUUCGAAUACCUAAACUCAAGCGGUGCUAAUUUGCUAAUCCAAGCCUUAUCAAUAAUACCAACACGCCGUCUGAUCCAAGAUUAGCAACCUCUCUUUCUCUCAUAGAGGGAACCUCACUGACGCAUUCAGGGCUCUGCAGUUGAAGCGUUCCUUCGGAAUACACCACAAAUACACUGGUGGAUGUACUGAUGGACACGACGAGUACUUCUUCUGGGGGGCCUUCCGUGAAUCAGUCGGCGCGUGUUAGCGCAUUCGGAACCACACAUUUUUAUACGAUUUUCGGAUCAUUUGAUUUUCGUUUUGAAAACUUUAAAACCUUAUCAGAGAGGGGCCACCCCAACAUGAUCAAUAGGCUGAUGGCCUUACCAAACCGCUCUGCUCUUGAGCUUUCUUUCCUCCCUUAUGGCGGCGCAUUGGGGCACUAGAAAUCAAAGAAAUCUGCUAUGUUAUGUGUUAUGAGUUUGGGACCCAGCUGCUGAUGUUAGAGCUCUUUUCGAAAGAGCAGCUUAUCCAAGUAGUUAGUUUCCAGAACAGAGCGAGAAAGAAGAGAAAGAGAGGUACGCACUGUGAAAGAAGCCCACGUUCCCACUCUUCUUUCCCCCGUUGAUCGGGUUGUUAAAAGGGUUAGUCCUGUUGUUAGGAAGAGUUAGCGGUGUUUACACCGGUGUCAUGUGUACGGGGAUACGUGUAUUAAGAAAAAAGGCCCAGAAGGCAUGUUUUCGAAGCUUCCCCCGAAGAAUCGUCACCAAAGACAUUCUUCCAUGGGUUUUUUACAUGGGGGGGGGGGCUCGGUUUUGCACGCACCCUCCUUUCGUUAUUCCACCUUGAGCCUAGUGUAGUUGGGGAGAGGAGACCCCUGGGGUCAAGGUUGAAUCAAUAGAUCACAGUCUUGGAUCAAAGGGAUAAGCCAGAUGUCAGUGGGAAGGCGGAUUUUGCAUUUGGAGGCUUUCUUGCAUACCUUUUCGAAUUCUUUUUGUAUAGCUUAGUUACUUCUUCAGCGUAGCAGGCAUGCCCACGGGAGGCACCCUCCAAAUCACUAAAAGCAGCACUAUACCACCACAAGUAGAGGCUUCGCAGUGACAACCUUGAUCGAAUGUGUAGGAUAGGUGGGAGGUGGUGACACACAACGACCAAUCCUGAAAGACCACUCUUUCGUCUAAGGAUGCCUAACCGCCGCACCCUGGAUCCAUUCUGACCUAAUUGGAUGAAUGAAGAAGAGGGCGAGCAGAUACGACGGAUGGUCCAACUACAGAACUUCUUCUUUUUCAUUACUUCCAUGGUCGUGCCCCGUGGCACGGAACGGCUGUUUGGAGUUGAAGCCGGACUAGAAUUGGGAGCAAAUUCCGGCAACGAAUGGAUGUCCUCUUUUCUUCUUGUACGGCCCUGGUCUGCAUCGGGAGAAUGGGAAUAACGAUCUUUUAUAUGAUACGGAAAGCGAAGAGAAUAGACUGCUACAUACUAAGUUGGUUAUUCGUAGAUUUUUAAUCGAUUAGUUAACAUGGUGGUUAACCGUAUUAUGAAAGACGGAAAAAAAUCAUUGGCUUAUCAAAUUCUCUAUCGAGCCAUGAAAAAUUUUUUCAACAAAAAUGUGAAUUAGGAAGGAUUGGUCGACGAAAUAUGAAUCGAAGACUGAAUCUUGAUAUACCUCAUAACAGCACCUUCUUGUUACCGCGAAAUGCAAUAGGCAAUCGGCUAGAUGGCACAUCCAACCUGUUCACAGUUUUAUGCUGCUGGCACUUCAGAAACCAGAGCUGGGAUUGGUAGCGGUUCCACUUCUCAAGUUUGCAUAUUCUGAUCACACAAUGGAAUUCAGGUGGACCAGGGUUUGGGACACUAAUCUUUAAAUUAUAGAUGCAUUAUAACAUGUCAAGGGAGGCGCCGAGAUAUGAUAUGACCAAAGGCCUUGUUGUUGUUGCGACCACUGAGUAUCUAGGGUCAUUCCCUUUACCAAACAUUGGAGUUGCUGCUCGCUCGAAAGCUUUUGCUUUCUUCGGUACUGGUACUUCGGUCAAAGUACCUAAACCUCACUAAACCUAUGCUCUAGCUUCGAAAACAGGCCUUCUGGGUCUUUUUUCUCAAUACACGUAUCCCCGUACACGUGACACCGGUGUAAACACCGCUAACUCUCCCUAACAACAGGGUAUGGGGAGGGGAGAGAAGAGUGGGUAUGAGGGCUUCUCUCGCCAUCCAUAGCCCCCUUUCUUUAAAAUGCAAAGUGGACGUUCCCGCACGAACGGCGUGAACUCUGAUUCGAUCCGGGUAUUCAAUCCCACCGCUGAGAUGCUCAGUUGACUCCAUUAUCGAAUGGGGCAGACACUCCCAUGAGCUAUUUCAACCACUUACUAACACAGGGACACCACCAUUUUAAAGCUGAACUAUGAUCUUCUUUCGUGCACAUCUCGCUUUUUUUUUCAUUUAUGCGAAUGAAUUGCAGAACCAAACUAAAAUGGGUUGAUCGGAGCUAUUCUCUAGAAUUUCAAACUUGAGAUGACUUGCUUGAAGCGGCUGAGGCUCUUCCUAAUGGAAGAAAGGACAUCCAAUGUUAGGAUGGAUCUAAUUCAAGAAUUUCUAGCUCUAUACGCGAGGAACGGAUGCUGUUUUGACUUUUUUCUUCUUGCUUUAAUCCAGUCGCUCGAUAGGACUUCCCGUAACCCGAAAAGGUUGGUUCUUCCCCUACAACCCCUACCCCUCCAAGGCAGUACUCUUCAUCGGCAAAUCCGAAUGUCUCGAUCCGAGUUGAGACCCACCUACAGAAAUUGAUCCAUCAAAGAAUUUCCUGCUGCUAUCAUAUAAUACUCAUCUCUAUUUGGUGAUAAAUAAACCACCUGUCUCUCUUUUUUUUUCUUUGCUUUCUCAGAUAUUUUAGAUUGAAAGCCAUAGUACUAAUACCUAAAGCAGUGAACCAAAUCCCUACUACAGGCCAAGCAGCCAAGAAGAAGUGUAAAGAACGAGAGUUUUUAAAACUAGCAUAUUGGAAGAUUAAUCGGCCAAAAUAACCACUUUUUCAAAACCUAUCAUUAAGGGCGUGACGACGAUAUACGAGAGGAAUAAAAAAAAACUCGUGAUUGGUGUGGAGGGGAAGAUCUGCUUAUGAAAUUGUUCAAGAAAGAGUCGUCUCAUUUCCUUAUAUUGAAUUCCUUCUAUGGUUCCACAUGAGAAACCAGUACGAAUAUAACCUACAUGUCCAAUCGAAUUAUGAGCUAGAGGUCUUUUGACUUUCGUUAGAUUAUCUUGAACAUAGGUGCGAGUAAGUUGUAUUGUUUGGUCUUUAUAGCUACAGUUUGAUGGUUUGGUCGUUGCUUCCUCGUUUUCUAUUUAUUCAUCUAAUUAAUCUCCAUUAUAACCUACGAGACAAAGUGAUUAACUAUAUGAUUAACGAGUAAUAUGCUGCAUAUGCAUUGGAGCAUUGUGGUGUUGUACGCAUGGAGCCCGGGCAAUUGCCCAUGGUGGCCAGGCGCUGCAUCCGCCACCAACAGUCGACGUCGCGGCUGAUGAGCGUGGCGUGGAGCGCAAUGCGGCCGGCUCUCCGGCCCAUGAGCUUGGUGAGGCCGACGCCGUUCACUGCGCCCUCGGUCUCCACGUGCCCGGUGGCGAUGGCAUGCUGCGCCGCGUCCACCGCCGUGUGGAACCCGAACGAGCCGCCGCUGCUGGACCUCACGGUGGAUUGUCGCCGCGCCGCGCAUCAUGUCGUCCCCACCGCCGUUGGGGUGGGACGGAGGAGGAGCAGAGGCGGCGCAGGGGGACGAGGAUGCAGGAGGUGGGCCAGCGAGGGAGGAGCCUGGAAGGUGAGGUAGCGGUGGCGGUGAGGGCGGGGAGAGGAAGGCAGCGGCUCGAAGGUGGAGUGCGGUGGUGGCGCGCAAGGUCGCCUCCUACUGCCCACCUCGCUCACCUGCGGGAAGAGAAGAUGAAGAGAGGCGGGAGGGUAGAAGAGAGAAGUGAGGAUGAAGAAGCAGAGAGAGAAGGGAGAGGGAAGAAGGGAGGUGAGGUUGACAUGUGGGGUCCAUGUGUGCCUCAUCAUUUUUAAUUAUUUUUUAACUGACAUGUGGGGCUAUGAUUUUUAUUAUUUUUCCGGGAUCAAAUUGUCACGUAAACGCCACGUGGGAUGACGACCAACCUACCACGUGGCGCCACGUCAAUCAAAAUUACCUUCUAACCCGCCGAGGGAACUUGUUUGCACCGGUUUUGACAGUUCAGGGAUCGGUUGUAUCUUUUUGGGUUAAGGACAAAAAUCGGAUUCGGUGUAAAGUUAAGGACGUCAAAUGAACUUAUUCCAAUCAAUUGGUAUGUCUCAUAUUUUGGCGCAGAAAACCCAAACUUAGGCCCAUAUUUUGGUACCUCGGGAAUGGGCCGGGUACAGUGUGAACACGUUCCAGCCAUAUAUAACCCCUUCGUCUCCAGUCCCCAUCCCCCCCUUCCCUUUCCUCCACCCACGCCGCGACGACGAGUCGCCGCCGCGGCCUCGCCGGCGACCAGGUCUCCGGCGGCCCCGCCGCCCGCCGUGACGGGGCUCCGGCCUUCCGCCCUCCUCCCCGCACCGCCCGCUAUCUCGGCUCCCCGACUCCUGCAUUCCCCCGACUCUCCCCCGGCCGCCGCCGCCGCCAUUUCUGACUCUUUCUCCGCGGCGCGUCUCUCCUCCGAGAGCACGCCGACCGCCUCCCGAAGCGGCGUCGCGGCCGCGGCGGCCGCCGCCUUCUCCCGCCCCUGAUGGCUGGCGAUUCCCGAAAUGAGGCGGGUUCUUUCUCCUUUGCCUUUUUUUACUGCUCGGAUGAAAUUUGAAUCUGUGUAUGCUUGUGGUUGUGAUGAAAUUUAGCUUGUUCUGUCCCCGCAGCCGAUGUUUUGCGAGGAAGGGAGCAGUGAAUCGGGCUAUGUUCUAUGUGUUAUUGAUUCGCUGAAGAAGAAAAUCACAUCGGACCGCUUUGUUUACAUCCAGGUGAUUUGAUUUGAUUUGAUUGUUUGGAGCUGCAAAUCUCGGUCAUUUUCUUGUAUUUUCUUUAUUUACCAGCUGAUUAGUUUUGUUCCCCGUGAUCUUUUUUUCCAGAAAAGGGUAGAGGAGAAUAGCAUUAAGCUUAGCCCGAUUACACUGCACUCUCACAAUUUGUCAAAAAAUAGGCAAACUAGUACAUCCAACAGUACAGAUUUAGUCUCGAAUUUGCUCACAAAGAGGAAAGAAGAUGCCCUGUGUGCUGUGAAUAGUCGUGAGUCAUCUCCUGAUGAAAGUGAAGGUGCCAAUUGCCAAGAUGAGUGUUCAUCGACUGUUAUUGUGGGUGGAAAUCUAUCCGCGAGGAAUUCUGUCCGUCCGAUUAGACUACCAGAAGUGGCAACACUCCCUCCAUAUACAACUUGGAUAUUUUUGGACAGGUGCAUUUUCUUGACAUCCCUAAGAUCCCUGCUUAAAUUACAUAGUUAUCAUGGAAAGUUAUAGCGUAUACACUUUAUUAUCCAUUAGCAACAACAUAGCAAUACUAUUUCAUUUCUCUUGCUAAACAGUAAACACACGCUCAUUUGUGGUCUUUAGUUUUUUGUGCAACAAUCUAUUCAGUCAAACAUAGUUUUUCCGACCUAAUGCUUUAUGUCUCUGGUGAUUUUUUUUCUCUUCAUGUGUAAAUGUGUAAUGGAGAUAUUGCCUUUCGUUCUUACUAUAAGCUUGGGAAAUGGUAUAGUAUAAAAAUGGAACAAGUCCUUAUGCGGCCCCUUGCUACGUGCCCCACCUCUCUCUUAAUCACAUGCAGUUGCAGACUUGCAGGCUGGGAGUGUGUGUUAAAACAAGAGCAGCAAAUGCCACAUUGACUGCCUUGAAUUCAUCUUCUUGGCUUUGGUAGCAAAGCUAUUGUGCCAGAACCAUUGGCUUUGCCUGCUGCAGUGUUUCUUUUGCUUUUGCUGUUUCAUCCGCUUUAUGCUUCUUAGUGUUCUCUUUGCUAUUGCGUGAUUUUGUGGAGCAGCAAGCAAAAAAUCAGACUGAAACAUGUUUUUGAUGAAUUGUUUGUUGAUAUGAAUUUAACAGUAUAUCUCAUAUGACAAACUUCUAUUUUUCUAAAUAAGUAAUGCAAAACAUGCAUGGUCACAGUUACAAUCCAGCAUACUUUUAGUUUGGAGAGGUAGGGCAUCUUAAGGUUUGUUGAAAUAUAAGAUUUUACAAUCUUUCGUGCAGGAACCAGCGGAUGCAAGAAGACCAAUCUGUACUUGGUCGUCGAAGGAUUUACUAUGAUACAAACUGUGGCGAAGCUUUAAUUUGCAGUGAUAGUGAAGAUGAAGCUGUUGAGGACGAGGAAGAGAAAAAGGAGUUCAAGGAUUCUGAAGAUUGCAUAAUUCGGUAAAUAUGCUUUGGACAUGCAUUUGUUUUCUUUUGCCUUGAACAUUCACUAAGGAUGCUCAACUUGUUUGACCGUUACAGGCUCAUGGGACCAAGAUACAGGUGCAGUUACCAUAGCACCUGGAGCUUGGGCUCAGUCCAUAGAAUAACAGAUCUGAUGACUCUGUAGUAAUAGUUUCAUGGAGAAAUGCUUUCUUCUGUAAGCAUUUUGUCAUAUUCUCUGUUUUUCUUUUGACUGGGAAAACUACCAGGACUUUGCCUAGUAGUGUAAUUUCAUUAAAGAAUAAAAAAUAGUAAUAUUCUCUUUUUGAAGUCACAAUAUAACAUAGUACAGAAGCAAUAGAGAAAUGAUAUUAAAUAUACUGGUCAAGUAACAUUUGGUAUGAAAUAUUCCCAAGAGAUUAUUUAGUAAAACUACAUUAUUAAAAACUUGUAAGAAAAAGGGUUUGGUUUUGGGGCAUAUGUCUUAUAUCAUUAAAUGAAAUGGUCAUUACCAGUUUUAUCUACAUUGUUCCAGGGGAAAACCUUGAGCUGGUCACACUGCAUAUUUGACCUGGUUUUGUUUUGUGCAACCCUUGCACAAGCAAGAAAAGUAUGGUUACAGCAUUAAUCUGAGUUGUUUGUGGAUUAAUUUAGACCUUAAACAUCAUAGAUCACAAUAAUUUGGUUUCUCCUGUAUGGAAUUCUUCCACUUAAGGGUGAUUUUGUGCAAUGAUUGCCAGGAUGACCAUUCAAGAAUGUGGCAUGUCUGAUGCUGUGCUUGAAACUCUAGCUCGAGAUAUCGAAAGGGCUCCUGAUGAUAUAAAGGUUCAUACAACAUUUAUUCAAUCUCACGUCACAUUUGCAUUUGAUCCAUUUGGGAUUUUCCUCUUCCAACUUAUUGUUUCAUUUCUGAAAAAUUAAAUUACGUGUCUAUUUUCCAGGCCAGGUAUGAGAUCCUACAAGGGGAGAAACCUGAGGGUUCUUCCAAGAAAGUGUCUGAACUUAAUGUCAAAAUGGAAGACGUGUACGGUGAUAAAGAUCUGGAUGCAGCAUUGGAUUCCUUUGACAAUCUCUUUUGUCGCCGAUGUUUGGUACGUUUUCUGUUAAUUGUCAUGUGUGUUUUACAUAAUAUCUCUGGUUUACUGAUGAAACAUUCUGCUCAUUUUGAUGUUGGAAGGUUUUUGAUUGCAAGCUACAUGGGUGUUCUCAAGAUUUAGUAUUUCCGGUAAUUUUCAAACCAAUGAGUUAUUUCCUAAACUUGUGUGUUGUUCUAAUUAGUGUCCUUUUCGUAUAGACUGAAAAGCAGGCACCAUUGUGCAGCUCGGAUGAGGGUACACCAUGUGGUAUUCACUGUUACAAACUGGUCUGUAUUUUAUAGGCAUAUGACUGUGGAAAAGCAGCUCUUCUUUUAUGAUGAUUUAGAUAUCCGAAACAUAAGCAUAUGCCGUUUUGCUGAUCUUUACCUCAUUUAUAAUCUUUUUGUCAGGUCUCUAAACCAGAUGCUAUCAUGGAGAUUGAUUCUCAUUUGCUUGUUGAUGUUGAGGAGCCAACAUCGGACAAUCUAAAGGAUCAGAUAGGGUCAAAUAAGAAAAAGCUUGGUUCUAGUGGGCAGAAAACAAAAUCUCAACAAAGUGAAAGUUCUUCAACUGCAAGGGUUUCCUCAGAAAGCAGUGAGUCUGAAGUACAACUGUUAAGCAAUAAAUCCCCGCAACACUCUCCUGGCCUCUCAAAAAAUAAGCUUGGCGCAAAAGGUGGAAUCAAGAAAAGUACUAACAGAAGAAUUGCUGAGAGAAUUCUAAUGAGUGUGAAAAAGGGGCAACAGGAAAUGUCACCGGACUCUAAUUCUAUUGUUAAUGGAUGCCAUUGGCCUAGGGAUAUGAAGCUUAGAUCUGAUACUAGGAGUGGAAUUAAGGAUUCUGUUGUAUCCUCACAGUGUAAUUCUCCAAGCACAAGGAGUUUUAGAAAGAAGGGCACACUUCAAAUGGAGAAUAACUCAUCUUUUGUGGAUGCUCAGAGUGAUUCAAUGGAGGAUACAAAUAAUGAACAUUCAGCAACAGAUGGUUGUGAUAGUUCAAGGAAAGAGGAAUGUGUUGAUGAGAGUAUAUGCAGGCAAGAAGCUCAUGGCAGGUCCUGGAAAGUGAUUGAGCAAGGGCUUCUAUUGAAAGGAUUAGAGAUUUUUGGAAAGAACAGGUUGGUCCCUUGAAAUGAUCAGCUUCAUAUGAAUUAUUUCACUACCUUCUACUUCAUCUUAAUAUUUGUAUACUAUUGCACAACUAACUGCUGUAUCUGUUCAGGACAGAGUAAACGUUAAUGUGUCUAAUCCCUCCGUCCCAAAAUAUAAGGCGUGCUUUGACUUUUAAUUGUCAAUUUCUCACAAGUAUACUGUCUAUACUCUAUAGUGGAACCAACAUCAUAUGAAAGUACAUUCAAAUAUGAAUCUGACAAUACCAUUUUUAUAUCACUAAACCUAUAUAUUGUCAGACUAGUUGUGAGUCAAGAUUUGUAAAAUUUGAAUUUUAAAAUGCGUGCACACCUUAUAUUUUGGGGUGGAGGGAUUAACCUUUCAGUUCAGCACAAGAAACUGACUAUGCUUUCUUUUAAUAUAUCUGUAUUACUAAAAGUAUUCAACACAAAUGUCUAUAUUUAAAGCAAAUGCUCUUGCAUCAUAAUUAGACAUCCCCGAAACUAUAUUCUUAUACUACUACAUUUCAAGUAAAAGCUGUAACAUGAAGAUACAAUCUACAAUUUGUCAUGCAUAACGUAUUGGAAUGCGGAAUUAACUGGAAUUUCUAAUGUUUGCAUCAUUUAGUAUCUAGUUGUGUUAGUUAUAGCGUUUCAUGUACAAGAAAUUCUGAUGUAUGUUCAUUUCAAAUGCCUUAAAAACUCAUUCCUGUUUUCUUUGGAUGUCUUGCAAGCAUAUUGGAAAUGUUCUUUAUCCUUUCUAUAAUGAGUAGAAUACCUUGUUUUCCCUAAUUUGAAUAGUCAUACUGAGCCCUUGUUUUUCCUAUGUUGAAGUUGUUUAAUUGCUCGGAACCUUCUGGGUGGGAUGAAAACAUGCACAGAUGUUUUUCAGUAUAUGAAUUACAUUGAAAACAGCAGUGCAUCUGGAGCUCUUAGUGGUGUUGAUUCUCUUGUUAAAGGAUAUAUGAAGGUAGGAUUCAUCAUAAAGCUCAUUUACUUGUAUUUUCCCAAGGUUUCAUCUUACUUUAAUGCUUGAACUCCCAGGGUAAUGAAUUACGGACAAGAUCAAGAUUUGUGAGAAGGCGAGGAAGGGUCCGCCGUUUGAAGUACACCUGGAAAACUGCAGGCUACCAUUUUAUAAGGAAAAGGAUUACAGAAAGGAAGGAUCAGCCUUGUCGACAAUACACUCCUUGUGGUUGCCAGUCUGCAUGUGGGAAGCAAUGUCCAUGUCUCACAAAUGGUACCUGCUGUGAGAAAUACUGUGGGUGAGCUACUUCAAUUAUUCAUAUUGCAGACUCCGAGAACAUUUUUUCUUCUAGAUAUUAAUAAUGUUGCUUAUGAAAACAAAACUGUGUAGAUGUAUACAAUUUCAAUAUUGUUUGGUUAGUGCCGACCAAUUAUGUCGUAUGAUCACAUCUUAGUUUUGCAAUCAUUGCUGCUUACUGAAAAGGAAAGGAAAAUAAAACCUAGGAGGAACUAGGCACCCUUUCAAUUAAGAGGAAAACAGGCACCAAAUUUCUAGUUGAAGAGGACUUGAACCUUGAUGGUGGGAGAGUGAGGGUGUAAACUCCGCAUUUCUCACCCAAAUGGUGAAUCAAACACAUGCUUCUCUUUUGUUCUGUGUGCUCUUUUGGCUAUUAGCUAUUACUUAUUUUGAUAAUUUAUAAUUUUAAUUGGAAUAAAUGAUGCAAACACAUGGAGUGCAAAUGUUUGCUGUCCGCAUCCUGCUGAUGCAAGUUGAAGUAAUCCUUUCUGCGUUGCAGGUGCCCGAAAAUGUGCAAGAAUCGCUUCCGAGGUUGCCAUUGCGCAAAGAGUCAGUGUCGCAGCCGGCAGUGUCCAUGCUUUGCUGCUGACAGGGAAUGUGAUCCUGAUGUGUGUAGAAACUGCUGGGUAGGGUAUGUAUUUUAAAUUCUGAUGACCCUUUGAAUGAUUUUGCUAGUUAAUGCACAUUUGUAUAUCUUAGAGAAAGGCACCAACUAUAAUGUGCUUUUCAUUCUUUGCACUUCUCCAACCUUACAUCUACCUUGAAAGUUGAGAAAUUACCACCUAUGCCUGCACUUGAAGGAUGGAAUUUUGAUGGAUGAUGGAUUUAUCCUUAAGUGCAGGAAGAAUCUUGCAUAUGUAUAUUCCAGUAUCUGAAGAUACGGAGUUCUGCAGUAAAAUAUCUUAAUGGUAGAAUUGAAUUUAAUUAAUAUAAUCAUAUCAAUUGCUUGCCCAACAGUCCCAAUAGGCAAUAGCUACAUUCCACAAUUAAAAAAAUGGUGCAAUAAUAAUAAUUUGACAUUUCCUUCUCAUACCAUUUGCUAGCAUACUUGAUAGUGUGUGCCAGCACAUUGACAAUUGAUAUUCUAUAUCUAAAUUAUUUAUAACAAUAUCUGAGUUUUAUAGGAGUGUUUACCAGGAGUUAAUCCAUGAAAAAUGUAUCAAUGAUGGGGGAGUUUAAUUUGAAUUUGUUAUGAACGAGCUUCUAAUGGUAGGAAAUGAAAUUUUAGAUACUGUAAGUUGUUAGGCAAACACCAAAGAUGAGUAUAUUAUCCGGCCAGUGUGUAAAUCCAAUCAUGAUCCUUUUUCACUCCAUGGAACCUUAAAUAUGCUUUCUGUUAUUCAUUGUUGAAAUAGUCUGUUAUUCAAUUUCAAUUACUGUUUCUUCAUCCCUAAUUUUUCUAGAACAAAGCGCCAGUACAUUGAACUUCUAUUUUUCUACCUGUACUUUCUAUUGUGCAGGUGCGGUGAUGGUACAUUGGGAGUCCCUAACCAAAGAGGUGAUAAUUAUGAAUGCCGGAACAUGAAACUGCUGCUUAAACAGCAACAAAGGGUAAACCUUUUGCACUUUGAUUUAUUCAUGCUAUUGCACCUUGGUUAUAAUUUCGUCAAGCCUAUCGAUUUUUUAUGCCUGCUUGGCCCUUCCAUUUGCCUUUAUUCGAUGCUUUGAUAUUUUUGUGUGAGGAGGCUUGAGGUCUAAGUUAAUUACCCAGCAGUACUUCUCAAUAGUUUUAUUCUUUUUUUUUAAUAUUUUUCACGUGAGUUCAAAUUCCAGUUGUCUAAAUACAAAAGAUCUUAAGUUUAAUACCAAAGAAACUAGUUAGAGUAACUAUAUUCCAAAACAGGCAAUGAACUAUGAACCAAAAAACUUCCCAUUAGCAGGAAAAUAAUUGCAUAAAGUAUCUAUCGAUUAUGUUGGUGAAUUUAUGAAACACCAGGGGGUGUUACUUCAUUUUCUAUUACAGGUCCUAUUCCAUCUCUAAAUAUCUGUAAAUAGUAUUGACUUGCUAUGUGCACUCUUCAGGUCUUACUUGGGAGAUCUGAUGUUUCUGGCUGGGGAGCUUUCCUCAAGGUAAGAUUUCUCUAUUGACCCUUUUCCUCCCUCAUAGGACGUACCCUCAUCUAACUAGUCCUUUUCCUAAAUCUUCAGAAUAGUGUUGGGAAGCACGAGUAUCUUGGCGAGUACACUGGGGAGCUUAUCUCCCAUAAAGAAGCUGACAAGCGUGGAAAGAUAUAUGACCGUGAGAAUUCAUCGUUCCUUUUCAACUUGAACAAUGAGGUGAGUGCAAAGACACCCCGCAAAUUACGGUCUGCAAGCAUUCAGGAUUGCAUACUGUACUGAUUUGACUAGCCUAAUGUCAUCCUUUUGCGUGAACCGAGUUGUUUACAUCCCCAACCCACUGUUGUUCAAUAUCGCGCGAUUUAUGAUCCGCUGCAGUGUUUUCGCUGUUUUCGCCAGUACCGGAUGCUCACUCACUCACUUUACCCUCUCGAUGAAUGCAGUACGUUCUUGAUGCCUACAGAAUGGGCGACAAGCUGAAGUUCGCCAACCAUUCCCCUGAUCCAAACUGCUACGCCAAGGUCAUCAUGGUAGCAGGCGAUCACAGGGUGGGGAUCUUCGCCAAAGAGCGGAUCAGCGCGGGCGAGGAGCUGUUCUACGACUACCGCUACGAGCCCGACCGGGCCCCGGCGUGGGCUCGCAAGCCCGAGGGGCCCGGUGCCAAGGACGACGCCCAGCCUUCCACCGGGAGAGCAAAGAAGCUCGCCCACUGAAGAAGAAGAAGAAGAAGAAGAUCAGCCGUUGAUUCUUUUGUUGUCUUGGUUGAUUCUUUCGUUAUUGGUGAGGGGGACCGAGAACUCUGACGGUGAUUAGCGCCGUAAGGAAAACUUUCCUGCCAUUCGUUGGCCCCCUCGAUUCGAUUCGUUGAUUUUCCCUGAAUUCUGUAACUGCUGCACCUGUCGCCAGUUCAACUUCAAAAGAUUUUUCUGAUUCUGGAUCAGUUGUUGUGUUCUUAUGUGUUACUUUUCGAAAAUACAAUCACCAUCUAAAAUGCAUGCAUGACACUGUUGACUUUUCGGAUAACUUUGGCCCAUUCAUCUUAUAUAAAUAUAUAAAAGUAUAAAUAGUUUUUUAUUGAUAAAACAAAUCAUAACAAAAUAAAUGAUAUUUAUAUUUUUUAAUAAAAUAAAUGAUCAAAUGUUUUGAAUAAGGUUAACGGAGGAGAUUACCGAGUUGUUUCCUUCGUGAAAAGUCGGCGAGAGCUGGAAGCCAGCGAUGGCUGGGAAUGGCGUGGUGGCGUUGUUGCCAAGGGCCCACAUACCAUACACCGUGCGAACGCCGCGGCAAAGCUUGAUGCGAGGCUUGUUUAUCUCGUCUAGCAGUAGCAGGCAUGGGUAGGGUCAAUGGGCUAAUCUGCGUCCGGCCUAUCCUGAGGCGUUGUUUCAAAAGAUCUAUACAACAAAACUAACACUCCGUUUUGUAUUAUAAAACGCUUUGAUUUUUUUCAAACCUUUUUAAGUUUGAUCUUUGUAAAAAAUUAACAUCUUAAUAUCAAAUUAGUUUAAUUAAAUUUAACAUUAAAUAGAUUUUGAUAGUAUGAUUAUUUUAUGUUUAAAAUAUUAUAAUGUUUUUUAUAAACUUUGUCAAACUUCACGAAGUGACUUAAAUUAAAGUUAAAUCGUCUUAUAAUAUAAAAUGGAAGGAAUAAAGAGUAUAUUACAUUUGUUGUACACAAAUUUAUUUAGGUGGGUAUAAUUCUAUAUAUGAACUUAUUAUGAAACAUUCGCUGUAAUACACGAACUCGACAUGGUCAGGGUGGCGAGGAGCUCCGAGUGAUGGCAGAUGGACUCUCCAUAGAUCGACCCCCUGUGAUGGUGCGGGAAGGUGCAAGGGUGAGCAGCCACACCGUACGCCGGUGAAGGAGCUCCUUUUCCUCUUCCUCCUCCUCUUCUUCUUCCUCCUCCUCCUCCUCUCUCUGCCCUUCCCUUCUCGAUGAACAAAGGAGCCGAAGUUGCAGCCUGUGAGUUAUAUCCCUCCUUCCCCGACCACUACUACUUUCUGUCCCUCCAUCCCCAGCUCCCUCCCUCCCUCCGCUCCCUUGACAUGGAUUGGAGAAGGAGCAAGGUGCUCGCAGCGGACGCAGGGCUCAAGCUCCUCCACGUGCAACUAGCCUCGGUAGGUGAAACCUCUCUCACUUUAUCGAUGCUCAGCUCCUCCUUGCCCCCAACCCUUCUCACUACCGCUCAGUCGACGUUGACCGCCUCCUUUGCUUCCGAAUAGACCACCUCUUCUGCCACCAACCUCCAUCUUAUUUAGAUCUCAUUGGCUUCGACAUAGCCUAGGCAGAGCUCCUAGAUGUCGAGGCAACAAAGCUCGGGGCUCGCGAGGAAGGCGGAGCUUGGUGGCAGUCUGACGAGAUCCCAUGGAGAGCGAACCCGUUGAGUUCUGGUGAGAUCCGUUACCCUUGAAGCCUUAUGGAGCUUUGCCUCUUGUUGGCGCCGUCCUUGAAGCCUUGCCAAGGCCUGCCUCUCACCAACACCGCCAUUGAAGCCUCAUCGAGCUCUCUUACCAACGCCGAUCUAAAGCUUCACCUCUAUCGGCUUCGGCUCAGCGACGGAGGCCACACCAUGGGGAAGAGGGAAAGAGGGGACACAAAGCAGAAAGAAGAUGUAAGUAGCAAUGACAGGUGGACCCUCUCUCUUAUGCAACCAAUGUGGAUCUAUUGUAUAGGUCAAUAGGUGGCAUCCACGUGUAGUACAAUCACCGUAAAAUAGCUCGAAGGUGGUAAAUCAUCUUAUACUAAUAGUUGGCGUAUCAUAUCUGGUUUUAUAAUUUCUAAGUAUAUUUUAGACCACCAUACGAUUUCAAGAGAGUAAAAUGGAUAAUCCCCCAUAAUAAAUCUCACUAGUUGUGUGAUAUAGCGGCGUAUGGACACUAACAAAACAUUAAUGCAGCCAAAGCAACCCCCCAUCAUAUCUCUCUUGGCCCCCCAUGAUAUAUGAACAGAAGUUACAGAACAGUAGCAGUGGGGGUACACCCUAUACCCUCCCUGGGGGACCUCUGAAUACUUCGAUCAGAGUAACGGUGCGGUGCCAAACUGAUCAGAUCACACACUUCAGACUACAGUCAAACAGAGCCCUUGCUUGCUUUGCUUGUGUCUUCAACUUCAGAGACCCCCUCCUACCCUCAAAAAAUUUCCCCUUUCUUUUCCUCCGUUUCUUGCAGCGACAAGAGAAAUACUAAUACUCCUCCUCCUACUACUGCUACUGUGCAAGGGGAAGGACACGACGACGAAUUGGAGAGCGGCGUCCUCUCUGAUCCUUUUUUUUCCUUUAUUGCAUCUCUCUCUCUCUCUCGCCAUUUUUCUUCUAGGUUGGUCUCUGGAUCAGGCCAUUGAGGGGGAAAGAAAAGGUGCGGGUUUUGGGGGGAGGUUGUUCUUGCGGGAGGCCGUUGAUUUCGCCGUGUGAUCGGAGGUGAGGUUCCCAGAAAAAAGGUUUACAAUCCUUCUUGUGUUUUUCUAGCCUAGUAGUUCUUGGUUCUUGGAUGCUAGUACGCGUGUCCGUCAUCUUCUUGUUCUUUGUGUGCGCCUUCCGAGGAUUUUUAUUUUCCUUCCCUUUGUUAUUUAAUGGUGUCAGUGGAUUAGGUUUAUGUGUAUCUGUGUUAGUCAUCUCAGCUCAGCUCAGCUCAGCCUUGUUGCUUUCACUGACUGACUGUACUUACAUUUGUUUAAGUGAGAUUAGGUCGAAUAAAUUAGUAGGAUUCCCUCAAAAGAACCAUCUUUUGUGGAGUUAGGUGGAUUUGGUGCUCAUCCGUGCUACUUUCUCACCCUAGAAGCUUUUGUUCACCACCCAGAUUUUGGUCUUCAGGGAGUGAAAAGGAGAUGAAUGAGAAGGACGCCACUGAUUUGGAGGAGAGGAGUGAGGCCAGUGAGCACGGCCAAGCUCUGAGUUUCCAUGGUGGUGCCAUGUUCUUGCAAGAGGCUCAGAUUGCUUCUCCUGCAGCUGCAAAUAAUGCAUUGACCUCCAUGGCGAAUCCUUUCCCUAUCCCUCCUGGGUUGUGGAAUCCACCUUCACACAACAUGGGUUUAGGCGAAACCAGUUUUUCAUCCUUGUUGGGGAUGCUGUCGGCCGGCGCGCCGCCACCGUUUGUGGCUACUCCCGGGUUUGUAGAUUCCACGGCGGGGUUUCCUUGCUACAAUGGAGGCAAUCUUGGAGCCAUGAUCAAUCACCCUUUCCCUGGUAUCCACCAGCCUUUGGGUGAUUUCCAAAACGGCGUCGAGCCAUGUAGGGAGAUUGAGGAUAUUGAGAUUGAAGGAUCCAAGAAUGUGUCACAAACUGGUGAGAAGCAGCAAGGGGAUGGUGAGACAACGCAUGCCGUCGAUUCCUCCUCCAAGGAGCUAAGCAUGCCAGGGCGCAAUGGUGGCGCUGGCCAUGAUGAGGGGACUAGGGUGUCUUGUUCCAAGAAGAGGAAAAGAUCAGGACAGGUAUUUGCUUGAUGUACACAUAUUUACAGAGCUGAAUCUCCGCAUAUUUAGGUGGAGCUAAGAAUAUGAAAUUUUCUUGAUUCUUGAAGGAUGGUGGGGUGAAGCAUGCAGAAGGUGGUGAGCAAUUAGCAACUGUCGGUUCAGCGCAGAAGAAUGAGGAUGAUGAAAAGGGUGAACCAAAGAGGUCUUCUGUGGCGUCCGGGAAAUCCAGUGGGAAGCAAAUAAAGGAUAAUGCAGGUUCACCAAAGGAAGACUAUAUACAUGUAAGAGCACGGCGCGGUCAGGCUACAAACAGCCAUAGUCUUGCCGAAAGGGUAGGUCCUUUUUUUCUUCUCUCUAAUGAUCUCUUCAUAAAAUGGUGUAUCUAGCCAUCUGGUUUGACUGUUAUUGUUCGGGAUGCAGGUUAGGAGGGAGAAGAUCAGUGAAAGGAUGAAAUAUCUUCAGGAUCUUGUUCCUGGUUGUAGUAAAGUAAGUGCUUCCUAACUGUCCCCUGCCUCCAUACUGAAUGACUGUUAAUCUGUUAUGACAUCAAUUGUGAAAUGUAAUCUAGGUAACUGGUAAGGCUGUUAUGCUGGAUGAGAUAAUUAACUAUGUUCAAUCAUUACAGAGGCAGGUUGAGGUAUGAUGUUUGUAAAACUUGUAGGGCCAUUUUCAGUUUUACUUGCAUAGUCCUGCUGCGAUGUAAUCUGGUAUACCCAAUGUGUGCAUGUUGGGCAGUUUUUGUCGAUGAAGCUAGCAAGUGUCAAUCCAACACUGGACUUCAACAUAGAACGCAUUUUAUCUAAAGAUGUAAGAUAGUUCUCACCUGGUCUUUAUAGAUUUUGACCCUUUAGAUUUGUCUUUCUCAUGAUGAUUGUUUCAUCCACACAGAUUUUUCAAUGUCGAGGCACUACUGCAUCAUCUGCCUUUGGCUUCUUCCCAGACAUUGUUCAUCCCCGAUUACACCCACCAAAAUAUACACAAGUUGGGAUGCCCAGCAUUGUGAACCCCACUGAUGCAUUUGGAAGAGUAAUCCAUGCUCCAUUAGGAACUAACAGUGCAUUCAAAGAACCUAAACAUCAGGUUUGUACCAUCACUUGCAUUUGGCUAAAUGGCCAUUUUCAUUUCAUGCUCUUUAUACCAAAUACUGUGUUCAUGAAAAAUAGGACAAGUUUCUGCAAGAUGUUCCAAGACCUAAUUUAGUGUUAUAUGGCUUGGUGUUUCGAGAAUACUGCUCCACAGAUAGUCGUUGAAAAGAAUGUCCACAUAAUAUUUUAAACCAAGAAAAGCUAGUCCCCUUUAUAUCCUUUUGCUGGGUCUUGCUUCACUACCCAUCUUUCCAAAAAGUUCGUGGGUCUUAAAAGCAAAGCAAACUAGAUAACAUAACUAAACUGAGACAUUUUAGACAACAAACAAAAUUCCUACUAUCUGUUUUUCAUAACUAGCCAGAUUGUGCCUGAUUCUUUUGGCCAUGCAAGCUGUUUGAACCUAGUCCAUCAAUCAGUCUCUUUAGCUUCUGACUCAUUAACCCUCUUCAACCUGAUUUUAGUGGGAAGAGCAUUGUUGAUGUUAACCGACAUUGUAACCUCAGUAGCACUAACCAUUUCACUAGUAAACCAACUAAAAAUGUACAAAUGCAGCUUGUUAUAUAUCUAAUUGUAUCUUCAUCACUACAUAUUUGCCUUCACAGUUAUCUAAAACAUAUGCUUUCAUAUUCAUAAACAUUUUUUUGGAAAGCGGAGUACCAAAGCACUGUUUUAGUAUUUUGCAAUCCUCUUAUUACUUGUGCAUUGGACAGAUGCCCAACAAUUUGAAUGGAGAGUUCCAGGACGUCAUUGAGAUGCCUUUUACUCAUGACCAUCAUGGAUCAAAUGAUCAACCCUGAGAUUGAUUCCACAACUGAAGCAAGAGAUCAAUAUGUGCCAUGGGCUUUCAGCAAAACUGUGAUAUAUGAGCAUGUUGAUAUCAUGGUACUAGCUCACAGCUGAUCACUGAAGUAUAAGCAUCCAAAAUGCUUAGUUAGUGCUAUUUUUCUCAUGUUCAUAGCAGCAAUUGACCUCCUGUGGAAGCCUCUCUUUGGAUGUUCCAUUUGCUGUUAUAGAAAGUUGGGAGAUAAAAAAAAAAGGAUGUUCACAUGGAGAUCUCAAGCAAUUUGUUCUCCACUGAAGUAGUCUACAGUCUUGAAAUGGCGAGAAGCUUCAUUUUGCAAGAAGGUGAUUUUUCUGUGGUCUCGUCAACCCCAGGAUUAUUACAUACACUAGCUAGCAUUGUGAGGCUACAGAAAUUGUUCUUUGUUGUACUUGCUUAGCCCAUGUUCCAUCUGACAAGCAACAUAGGCAGAAAUGCAGUCACUGAUUUUGUAUUUGUUGAAAAAAAAAAUAAAUGGGCUUGGCCUGAUGUAGCAAGCAUUUGAAUUUUGCAACGGGUGCAUAUUGGCACAGAUGUUUUUAUUCCAGCAAAGCUGUGAAUUCUGAAAGAGAAGAAAAGAGAACUGUGAUCUAGUGUUACUGGUGACCUUGUGUCCUUGUUAAGACAUAAUUCACUACACACUGGUAUUGGUGACCUUGUGAAGCGAUAAUCAUCUGAUCUGAAGCUGAUGGUCAUGGCAAAAGCAGCCAAGGAAAUUAAUCUCAUGAAACUCUUGCUCAUUGUUUCACUGAAUCUGAUAAAACAUGACAUGGCACGUUUCUGAAGCAAUCUGAGGUCUGAACACUACAUUUUUGCUGCAUCUAUAUGCAAAUAUUUCUUUCUCCAAGCAAAAACACCAAUCCACAAAAGACAAUUUCUGAAACAAAUUAUACAUACAUGAAGAAAAAGAAACUACUACCUAUGUCAAAGAGCAUAUAAUCUUCCCCUGCUAUAACAACAUGUACUAGCUACAUUGCAUCUGCAGUGUUCUUUCUUUUCUUCUUCUCUUUUCCCUGUGAACUUGUUCAGUAUAGUUACAAGACCAAACCAAAUACACCAAGCCCAUAUGAUGUAGUUCUAGUAGUUACAGCCAAGAACAUGGCAAGAAACUAUGGAGAUGAAGAUGAAGAUGAUAUGCUACAACUCGACGGAGACGUAGGUGGCGGAGUAGUCCGGCAUCCGGUGCAGGCUCCGGAGCACGCUCUCGGCGACCUGCUUCGUCGCGGCGUCGCCCUUGUGGAACGCGCUCACCAGCGCGCUCGGCAGCGCGCGGUCCGCCGUCACGUCGCGCACGCACCGCUCGCCGCCGUGCGCCAGGAACCUCUCCACGGCCCAGAAGCAGCGCCGCGACACCGCGCCGGCGGUGUCGCCGCCGACGUCACGGUGCUGCCGCAGCGCGCGCAGGACGUGCCGCGCGGCGUCGUGCUCGGCGAGCACGGCCACGCCGCGUUCCACGUCGACGGCGUCGUCCAUGAGCGUGCAGAGCGCGCCCAGCACGGCGUCGACCACGCGGCCGUUCUCGUUGCUCUCGAGGACGCCGACGAGGGCCUCCACCGCGCCGGCCUCCGCCAGGCAGAACGUGGUGGCCGGGGAGCACACGCCGCGGUGCACCGGGCAGAGGCGUCCCUGCGCCGGCGGCGGUGGCGGCUUCCGGUUGUUGUCGUGCACCCGCCCGGUGUGCGCGUCGCGCAGGCGCCGGAGGAUGUUCUUCUUCUUGGGGCGCCGUUGCUCCUCUGAUGGCGGCUGCGAGAGGUUCACCGACUGGUGGCUAAGGUUCUCGAGGCCGACCGCCGCGAGCCGCUGCACCUCGUCGCUGCCCGCUGACCGCACGAGCAGAUCGGUGAGCACCGCCGUGAAGUUGUGAUCCAUGGCCGCCAGGAGCACGUCGGGGUCGUACAGCGUCAUCGUCAUCCGGACGAGCGCGCCGACGAGGCCCUCCAUGUACGUCUUGGCAUGGCGGCUCACUCGCAUUUCGCCGCGCUGCAUCUCCUCUAUCUUGGCCAGCAACGUCGGCACUGCUCCCUGCUCCAGCAGCGCCAGGUUGAGCGUGAUGUUCUGGUACGGCAGCCUCGCCAGCAGCGUCGCCGCCACGGCGUGCCGUUCGGUGACACGCCCGGGCUGGCCGAUGCUCUUCACCAGCCUUCCCGGCUGCCCUGGCGCCUUGCAGAGCUUCUCGGCAAUGGUGUGCCCCAUCUGAGGAGACAAUGCAAUGAGCAGCCUCGUCGCGCUGAUGCCUAACGCCUCCGUCUUCGAGCCCAUGAACUCGAUCACGGUCAGGCUGCUGUCCUGCUCCUUCAUGACGGACACCACCGUCAUGAGCGGCUUUGGGAGCGCAGUGAGCGCGAGCAGCACACGUAUGAUGCUCAGGUUGAGAUCAUCAGGCAUGGAGCACUUGAGCAUGUGGGUGAAGUUGUACACCGAAUACUUUGAAGUGAUGACAUGGCCUUCCUUGUUGACGACGAUGGUGUCGGGAUCGAGACCGGACUCGACGAUGUUGGCGAGCACUGCAGCAGCCUCUGUCUUGGACCCCAUAGGCUCGUCGUCGAUCUUGCGGAUGAAGAGCUCCUCCACCAUGACCGGAACAGCACCGGCGUCGACGAGAGUCUUGCUGUUGGGGCCAUCUGAGGAGAUCUGGACAAGGACAUCAAGGGCCGCCUUGCGGAUCACAGUGUUGCCGCUAUGCACCAUCUUGAUGAGGAUCUCUGAAGCACUCCCAGCAAUGUUGAUGGUCAUUUCCUGCUUCUGGACCAGCUCGCCGAGGUAGCUCACCAUCUCCAUUUGAACAUCUUCAGACCCUGUUUUAUAUGGUGUUUCAUGUCAGGUAAUGGACUAAUGGUAGUGUCAUGGUGUUAAGUUCACGCUAGCGAAUUUCAUAUUAGUCAUCAGAGCAAUAUUACUAUAUCUAGUUAUAACUGCUUGUUCUUUGUUAAUGUUCACCCUGUACUGAAGUACAUGUAUUCAGAAAUUGAUUGAUCUAAUGUUAAGCACACUAUUUACACAAAUAAAUAAGUUCUCUAUUAAUAGUCCACGAUGUUGACUUUUGGCAAUAUAAACUUCCUUAUUUGAUAUUAUAUAUGAUAAUUAACACAUCAAAGAAAGUCGUGUAUCUUUCUGCAUAGGCAAAAUUUUUACCUUCCACUAAAUGUCUUUGGAGAGGAUCCAGGUAACCACUUUCAGCCAUGUACUUAAUGUUCUUUGGGCAGUUCUCCAGGUUCUUGAGAACCUCCCCAGCCUUCUCUGCAGCAACCGGAUCAUCUGAAUCAUUGAAUUUCAUUGUGGUAAGCAUCAAUAUGCUUCCAGAAGUUGAUCCGAUGUUUUCCAACAAUAGCUCCGAUUUCGAAAGCUCUAGCAAGAAAGAGAUGGCUGCAUGUCUUUCAUCAGGACUAUUACUAGAAAGCAGCUUUAUUGUUCUUGUAAUGGCUCUGGUAUUUGCUAUGACUUCCUGUACGUCAUGAAGGCAUGAAGAAGAAUUUCAGUUUUGAACAAACACGCAGGGUAAUUGUUUCAGCAUUUAAAUAAGUUUCACACAACCAGGCCAGCGAAAACAUUGAACAUGAUAAGGGUCAAAACGUUUCAGGCUUCCUUACCUUUCCUGUUUCAUCCUCAGCCAAUAAGCAAAGGAGAUCCAGCGAAUCACAGCGUAUCAGACCAUCCUUGUGCUCCAACAAACGAGGGAGGAACUUAGUUAUCCCGAUUUUGUGCAUCUGUUCCCUGUUCUUUCUCCUUAUCUUGGCCAGCAGCUUCAGCUCUUGUAUGGCCUCAAGCAACAUUGCCUCUGUGGAAGCCAUGGAGAGCGCGGUUCGUGCAAUCCUGACCCUUGUGGCUUCAUUUCUCAUAAUCCAUUCUGCAAUUGUGCUCUUCAGUGGAACAUUGCUCCUCAGUGCCUUGCUUUGCAUCGACAUCUUUGUCACAGGGCAUACCACAGGUUCAGAACCAUCAGCAAAUUUCUCAAAGUACUCCUCAAUGGCUUUCCUAUCAUAUGUCACACCACUUUCUGUUGUCACUGGAUCAACCAUGACCUUGUUUGUCAAUGGACAGAAGAACGAAUCAUAUAAUGGCUCGACAUAUUCUGCAACUUCAGGGAGCGAAUUGAAUGAAUGUGCACCGAUAUCAUGUGAUUCAUGGUACAUUCCCUGCAGGAAGUCCACCAGCCUUGGCAUGUCACUAUUGUGCAAUGUUCUUCUCCGGGGCCUGCUGUUUGCCGGGAUUAUCGACAUAUCGGCCUCAGAGUAACCAUCGCAGGAAUUCUGGUCACAAUAACGCGGCCGAUGUCCUGCAAUCUGAAGGUUUGCAUCUGCUCUGCCAUCUGGAAACCUGCUGCUACCAAAUGUUGAAGCAGGUAUCCUGCUGAGCUCAUGCCCAAUGUUCUUUAUGACACUGUCAAGGUCCUCGGUCAUGCCCAGGAGGUCAUCGUUCUUGAGCUCCCGCGCAACGGCGCUGCACCUCAUGACGAGGUCCUUGGCGAGGUCGACAUUGGCAGCCAGAUACUCCAUGACGUGCAUCACAUUAACCGUCGAAUUCUGCACUCUCUGCAGCUCCAUCGUGACCAGGGGUGCAUGGUAGAGGUGGCUGCCUACAUCCAUGAAGUUCUCAUGCUCGGCAUCGGCUGCCGCCUCUGGCGGCAUGAGCUCAGAGAUCGCGGCCUCUAUGGACUCAACGAGUGACGCCUUCCUCGCCUGCGCUCCGCUUCGCUGAACAAGAGUACAUGUCAAUCAGGCACCCAAGCAAAAGCAUCCAAAAACACAGAUAACACACAGACUGUUCUGUUGUGAUGACAACUACAGUCCAAAAUUCAUACAGUCCAAUUAUAAAGCAAUAAUACAGGCUCCCUUGGCUGCAAUCAAUCUGAGGUUGACCCAAGGGGUUGAGUUCUACACAAGCAAAUUGACUUCCCCCAAUUCCAAAUUUUUAACAGUUUGUUCCAAGAACUACUAGCAUCUUAUCUACUGUACAGUGAAAAAAUCACCAGGAAAAUUGAAUAGAGGACACAAAUAACACAAGGGGGGGGGGGGGAGUACAUCAAGAACAGCUUGAUGCACAUUCUACCUGGAAAUCAACAUCGUUUCUCCGUUCCAUCUAACCAAAGUGGCAAAACGUACUACCACCACCAUAAAUUUGCUCACUUCAAGCAGGGUUCGCCAUCUCUAGCGCAAAGACCCCCCAUGAAUCCAUGAUUCCUCGCCUUACCAAAUCACGAAAUACAAACAGAAAUGGCACAAGAACCGAGGAAUUUGCGAAUCACAGCCUCACUACCCACCUUUACAAAAAAAAAAUCCAUGAAAUCUACCGAAAUUUAUGGCAGCACUACGAAUUAGCAGCAAGCGAACAAGCCAGCUUCGUCCCCCCAAAAGAGAGAUGCAGCAAACAGCAAGCUCAACUCCCCCACGCUUACCUGCAUCCAAGAACUCCAAGAACUUGACCGCGCCGCUGCUUCUCCUCCUCACCUUCCGCUCCAAGCUCCUCCUCCUCCUCCCGAGACUGAGAGGACGGAGACGCUACGACUGGGGUAGCAUUCUCCCCUCCUCCACCACCGCCCCCGCCAUGGCCUCCCCACUCCUCAAACUUACAGCGCCACCACCACCCCACCACCGCUCGAGCCGAGGAAUAAUACCACCUCGCUCGCGUAGGGAGGAAGAGACGAGAACAAAAGAGGGAGAGAGGGAGAGGGAAAAAAAAUACGGAGGAAUUACGGAAGAACGCGCAGUGGCAGCGCAGCACGGAGACUCAGUCAAGUGAAGGUCAGUUUGUUAAUCGUUAUAAGCAACCUCUCCCUAAUCUUUUUUUGUUUUUUUUUUCUUGAAAAAUGUAAACCUCCUGUUUUAGACUUUAGAGAUCGGUAAUAAAGCGACGUUUUCUUUUUGGAUGGAUAAACCGAUAAAGCGACCUUUCUUUUAACAACCACCUUUCUAAUGGCGUUUUACCUUGGGAGAUGUUGACUUUUUCUUUUUCUUUUUUUUCUUUUUUGUUUUUACAGUGAUGGUGCUUAGCUUAGCUGCAGGAGUCAAGACUUGCAGUGCACACCAAUGUAUGUGUCAAACCACAGACUAGGCGUUUAAAUUUUUUUAAACUUGGCCCAAAGAUUGUUUUUUACGGCAAGCUUAAGCAGAUGUUUUGUUUAAAGAAGGUGGUUAGCUAUGUGCCAACUGUCAUAAAUUUUUUUAAAGUAUAAACUGAUGGUUUCUUCCCUAUUUCCAAACAGUUUCUAGCUGGUAUGCAAUAUUCGGUCAAAAUUCGGCUGAGUUUGGUUAGACUGGAGGAUGUAAAAUAUAUUUUUGGUUGCUGUAUUAGAUUUUGAGCCUGGGCUACUGUUUAGGGUUAGGGGACUCCCAUGCGAAGGUUAGGCUGAGUGUUUGGGAGGCCUCUCUCCCACACGCAAAACAGUGUAUGCAUUAACUACUUUCUCCAUCUACUUUUGAUACUUAUAUUUUAUCUUGGCACACAGACCAACGAUAAGUAAUUAUACUUAUCAUCCAUUUAAACAUGCUAGUCAUUCCUCGUAAACAAGCGAUUCAUUAAUAUUUACAUUUCUCGAUGCCCAUAUAGCCAAUCUUGUGUGGAAGAAUGGAGAGUCACGUAUUAAAUCCGAGAAAGAUAUUAAGAGGAUAGGUUGUUGGAUUGAAAUAUGCCUAUCAAAAAUAAAUUUUUCAGAUUUGGAAAUAUGACUAUCAAAAGUAUAUGGAGGGAGUAAUUAAUUAAAUAUUAUUUAUUUUGUAAAAAAAUAGGACUAAUAUGAUUGUUUAAAAUAAUUUUUGUAUAUUUUUUUAAAAAAUACACUGUUUAGCAGCUUGAAAAGCGUGCGUAGAAAAUUAGAUAAAUGAGUUGAAAAGGUGGAGAAAAGAGCUCAGCCUUACAAGAUAUUUCUGGUAGAAGAUUUUGUUUGAUUAAUUGGUUAUAUAAAUUUUGAGUUUAUUUAUCUCUUUAUUUGAAUGGUGCGGUUACUCCUACACCUCCAAUAGAUAUAAAUAUAUAUAUCCACAACACUCGAAAUAUAAUGUGAGAUAGUGUGGUCUAUUUGCACUGAACAAGUACUCCUUCCAGUCACAAAUGUAUGAGACAGUGUGGAUCAUGAUAUGGUUACCAAUAUACGGAGUAGUAUUUUAUAAGAGCUACUAUGGGAAAGUUAUAAUAUUUUGAAACUAUUUUUAAGAUAAAUCUAACCAUAUCACUUUCAAAAGUUAGAUCGAAAUAUUUAAAGAGAAUAAUGAUUCAAAUUUAACCAUGUUUACCGCACACAUUCCAAAUCGUCACUUAUUUGUGACCGGAGGGGGAAAGCCUAAAUAUCACAAGGUCACCCUCAUCAUUUCCAUCGCCCUUCGUUGCAAUCACCAUUGAGCUGGUCAAUGCGUUCUUACCACGAGUCCAAGGGUAGGGGUGGGCAUUCAGAAUAACCGAGAAAUUCGGUUCAGUUCCUCAAUCUUUUGGAAAAUUCGGUCUUCAGAAUCACAAUACCGAUCGGUUUUCAUGAAAACUCAAGAACGAGCACUUUGGUCUUCGGUUAGUUCGGUUCGUUCUCGGUCAUAGACCGAACUAACUAUAACAAAAG